rnacentral:rRNA from 1 species
AUUGAACGCUGGCGGCAGGCCUAACACAUGCAAGUCGAGCGGUAGAGAGAAGCUUGCUUCUCUUGAGAGCGGCGGACGGGUGAGUAAUGCCUAGGAAUCUGCCUGGUAGUGGGGGAUAACGUUCGGAAACGGACGCUAAUACCGCAUACGUCCUACGGGAGAAGGCAGGGGACCUUCGGGCCUUACGCUAUCAGAUGAGCCUAGGUCGGAUUAGCUAGUUGGUGAGGUAAUGGCUCACCAAGGCGACGAUCCGUAACUGGUCUGAGAGGAUGAUCAGUCACACUGGAACUGAGACACGGUCCCGACUCCUACGGGAGGCAGCAGUGGGGAAUAUUGGACAAUGGGCGAAAGCCUGAUCCAGCCAUGCCGCGUGUGUGAAGAAGGUCUUCGGAUUGUAAAGCACUUUAAGUUGGGAGGAAGGGUUGUAGAUUAAUACUCUGCAAUUUUGACGUUACCGACAGAAUAAGCACCGGCUAACUCUGUGCCAGCCGCCGCCGUAA